GUCUUUUAAUUGAAGUCUAGAAUGAAUGGUUGGAUGAGGGAUUAACUUUCUUUAUUUUAAGUGAAUGAAUUUGAUUUUUAUGUCAAAAAUCGUAGAUAUUAUUAUAGGACGAGAAGACCCUAUAGAACUUUAUUAUUUAAUUUAUAGUUUUAUUAUGGUAAUUUUAUGGUUUAUUUCUAUAUAUUAAAUAAUUUUAUUGGGGUGAUAAAAAAAAUAAUAUAACUUUUUUAUUUAUAUACAUUUAUAUAUGUUUAUAUGAUCCUUUUUUAUGGAAUUAAGAUUAAGUUACCUUAGGGAUAACAGCGUUAUUUUAUCAUAGAGUUCAUAUCGAUGAUAAAGUUUGCGACCUCGAUGUUGGAUUAAAAUAAGGGGCAGGGGUAGUUUUUUGCUUACUGGGUCUGUUCGACCCAUAAAUUUUUACA
rnacentral:rRNA from 1 species